GGGUGCUUGCACCUGGUGGCGAGUGGCGAACGGGUGAGUAAUACCUAGGAACAUGUCCAGUAGUGGGGGAUAACGCAGCGAAAGCUGUGCUAAUACCGCAUACGCCCUACGGGGGAAAGCGGGGGAUUCGCAAGGACCUCGCGUUAUUGGAGUGGCCUAGGCCUGAUUAGCUAGUUGGUGAGGUAAAGGCUCACCAAGGCGACGAUCAGUAGCUGGUCUGAGAGGAUGAUCAGCCACACUGGAACUGAGACACGGUCCAGACUCCUACGGGAGGCAGCAGUGGGGAAUUUUGGACAAUGGGGGAAACCCUGAUCCAGCCAUUCCGCGUGAGUGAAGAAGGCCUUCGGGUUGUAAAGCUCUUUCAGCAGGGAAGAAACGGUUGCAGCUAAUACCUGCGACUAAUGACGGUACCUGAAGAAGAAGCACCGGCUAACUACGUGCCAGCAGCCGCGGUAAUACGUAGGGUGCGAGCGUUAAUCGGAAUUACUGGGCGUAAAGCGUGCGCAGGCGGUUUUGCAAGUCAGAUGUGAAAGCCCCGGGCUCAACCUGGGAACUGCGUUUGAAACUGCAAGGCUAGAGUGUAGCAGAGGGGGGUGGAAUUCCACGUGUAGCGGUGAAAUGCGUAG
rnacentral:rRNA from 1 species